rnacentral:lncRNA from 1 species
AAUUCAUUUCUACGUCUCGCAUAACUCUUCGAGCCUGAAGUAUGAGGAACUGCUUGAGAUGCUCGUGCAGCUCUACCAAUAUUAGAAUAUGUCUGCCAAAAUAAAAGCACACAGUAUAAUAUGAUUCAAUGUAUAUAUUUGCAAUUUAUAUUAGUAAUAAAGAUAAUAGAAGAUAUUGAAACAAUAUACAUGACCUGUCCUCUUUCAGAAAACCAGUAGUGAACAAGCUCCCUCCACUGCUGAGGGUAUACAUCAGGAGGAGUCACACGAGCAACCUCCUCCUCUGU